AUUGAACGCUGGCGGCAGGCUUAACACAUGCAAGUCGAGCGACGGCCGGCCGGUUGAGAAUUUUCUGGGAACCUGCCUGUUGGGGGGGGAAAAUUAUUGGAAACGGUAGUUAUUACGGCAUACCUUCAGAUGUGCCAGGAUGGGUUUAGCUAGUAGGUGGGGUAAUGGCUCACCUAGGGGACGAUCCCUAGCUGGUCUGAGAGGAUGACCAGCCACACUGGAACUGAGACACGGUCCAGACUCCUACGGGAGGCAGCAGUGGGGAAUAUUGCACAAUGGGCGCAAGCCUGAUGCAGCCAUGCCGCGUGUGUGAAGAAGGCCUUCGGGUUGUAAAGCACUUUCAGCGAGGAGGCGUUACUCGCAGAAGAAGCACCGGCUAACUCCGUGCCAGCAGCCGCGGUAAUAC
rnacentral:rRNA from 1 species